rnacentral:rRNA from 1 species
CGUUGGGAGGACUGCCUCUGAGUGUCGUAGCUAACGCGAUAAGUUCUCCGCCUGGGGAGUACGGCCGCAAGGUUAAAACUCAAAUGAAUUGACGGGGGCCCGCACAAGCGGUGGAGCAUGUGGUUUAAUUCGAUGCAACGCGAAGAACCUUACCUACCCUUGACAUCCUCAGAACUUGUCAGAAAUGAUGGGGUGCCUUCGGGACCUGAGAGACAGGUGCUGCAUGGCUGUCGUCAGCUCGUGUCGUGAGAUGUUGGGUUAAGUCCCGCAACGAGCGCGACCCUUAUCCCUAGUCGCCAGCGAUUCGGUCGGGAACUCUAGAGAGACUGCCGGUGACAAACCGGAGGAAGGUGGGGAUGACGUCAAGUCAUCAUGGCCUUUAUGGGUAGGGCUACACACGUGCUACAAUGGACAGUACAAAGGGUUGCAAACCCGCGAGGGGGAGCUAAUCCCAUAAAACUGUUCGUAGUCCGGAUUGAAGUCUGCAACUCGACUUCAUGAAGUCGGAAUCGCUAGUAAUCGCGGAUCAGCAUGUCGCGGUGAAUACGUUCCCGGGCCUUGUACACACCGCCCGUCACACCAUGGGAGUGGGCUGUACCAGAAGUGGGUAGUCUGACCGUAAGGAGGACGCUUACCACGGUAUGGUUCAUGACUGGG